UUUUCCUUUUCCUUUUAUUGUUUUUGGCUCUUAAAUCAAUUGUACAUUUAACUUAAUUAUUUGUUAUGUUUCUUUUUUCUUCUUUUUUUCAUAACAUACAGUGAAUGUUAUGACAUAAUGAUCCUAAUUCUUUCCCCGUUACGACAUAAUGAUUUCUAAUGUUUAUGUUUAAAUCUCUAGUUGACUACUUACGGUGGUAGCUGCCAAAUUCAAUAUAGUCUGAGAAAGCAUCAUCCUGAAAUGAGAAAUAGUUGAAAGUGGUGUGAAUUGUUGUUGAGAAAAUGAUUCAACUCAAGUGAGUGACUCUGCUUCUAAAGGUGUGGAGAGUUGAUUGAAGCUAUAUAUGCUACACAUCAUCACCAUUGAAGAAAAGAUGUCCAUUCCCUACAGCCAACAGCCUACAGCUUUAUAGGAUUGAUUCUUGUGGAAAAAGUGAGUAAGGUUAUUGGUUGCUCUUGUGUUGUGAAGGUCUGAUCAAAGAGACAAACUUCCGGUCUGAAAUCUACAAAGCCUAGCAGAUAUUCCAGGGACUGAUGGGGUAAAUACAACACAAGCCACCGACUCAAAUGAUCACAAAAUCAAGACAGAAGUCAAAGGCUGCUGGUUUAAUAUUUCAUAAAAAGUUGAAUAUCCAGAAAUGGCCCUCAAAUUUUGUGUCCCAAUCAGAAGUGAUUGUAGUUGGAAUAUUUGGUAAUUUCUAUUGGUGUCCAGAGAAAACUAUAAAUUUAUUCACACUUAGCAUGGGUGUCCCAAGAGCGAUGGAUUUUGGGUGCAAACGUGAGCUCACUAACAUUUGAAGCACCAAGCCCAGCAACCGAGUGCAACUUAGCCUAUUGCUCCACGCUAGCCCAACCACACCACACCACACCACCCCCUUUCCUUUUUUUCGUUUUUAUUAUGAUUUCAAAUUUAUGUAACAUAUGAUCAUCCUGUUAAAAAUUUCGUGUUUUAGCAUGUUCAACUCAAGUGUACUGCUAUGCAACAAAAUCAGAAGCCUUUUCUAUUUAUUUUAUAAAUGUUGAAGCUUGGAAAUGUUA